AGAGUUUGAUCCUGGCUCAGGAUGAACGCUGGCGGCGUGCCUAAUACAUGCAAGUCGAGCGAACGGACGAGAAGCUUGCUUCUCUGAUGUUAGCGGCGGACGGGUGAGUAACACGUGGAUAACCUACCUAUAAGACUGGGAUAACUUCGGGAAACCGGAGCUAAUACCGGAUAAUAUUUUGAACCGCAUGGUUCAAAAGUGAAAGACGGUCUUGCUGUCACUUAUAGAUGGAUCCGCGCUGCAUUAGCUAGUUGGUAAGGUAACGGCUUACCAAGGCAACGAUGCAUAGCCGACCUGAGAGGGUGAUCGGCCACACUGGAACUGAGACACGGUCCAGACUCCUACGGGAGGCAGCAGUAGGGAAUCUUCCGCAAUGGGCGAAAGCCUGACGGAGCAACGCCGCGUGAGUGAUGAAGGUCUUCGGAUCGUAAAACUCUGUUAUUAGGGAAGAACAUAUGUGUAAGUAACUGUGCACAUCUUGACGGUACCUAAUCAGAAAGCCACGGCUAACUACGUGCCAGCAGCCGCGGUAAUACGUAGGUGGCAAGCGUUAUCCGGAAUUAUUGGGCGUAAAGCGCGCGUAGGCGGUUUUUUAAGUCUGAUGUGAAAGCCCACGGCUCAACCGUGGAGGGUCAUUGGAAACUGGAAAACUUGAGUGCAGAAGAGGAAAGUGGAAUUCCAUGUGUAGCGGUGAAAUGCGCAGAGAUAUGGAGGAACACCAGUGGCGAAGGCGACUUUCUGGUCUGUAACUGACGCUGAUGUGCGAAAGCGUGGGGAUCAAACAGGAUUAGAUACCCUGGUAGUCCACGCCGUAAACGAUGAGUGCUAAGUGUUAGGGGGUUUCCGCCCCUUAGUGCUGCAGCUAACGCAUUAAGCACUCCGCCUGGGGAGUACGACCGCAAGGUUGAAACUCAAAGGAAUUGACGGGGACCCGCACAAGCGGUGGAGCAUGUGGUUUAAUUCGAAGCAACGCGAAGAACCUUACCAAAUCUUGACAUCCUUUGACAACUCUAGAGAUAGAGCUUUCCCCUUCGGGGGACAAAGUGACAGGUGGUGCAUGGUUGUCGUCAGCUCGUGUCGUGAGAUGUUGGGUUAAGUCCCGCAACGAGCGCAACCCUUAAGCU
rnacentral:rRNA from 15 species